UCCUAGUACGAGAGGACCGGAGUGGACGCAUCACUGGUGUCGGGUUGUCAUGCCAAUGGCACUGCCCGGUAGCUAAAUGCGGAAGAGAUAAGUGCUGAAAGCAUCUAAGCACGAAACUUGCCCCGAGAUGAGUUCUCCCUGAGACUUAGAGUCUCCUGAAGGAACGUUGAAGACGACGACGUUGAUAGGCCGGGUGUGUAAGCGCAGCGAUGCGUUGAGCUAACCGGUACUAAUGAACCGUGAGGCUUAACCUUACAACGCCGAAG
rnacentral:rRNA from 1 species